ACCCCAUGCCAUUGAUUGAGGAUCUCAUUGACCGGUUACGAGGGUGUAAAUAUUUUACAUCCCUCGAUUUAAAAAGCGGAUAUCACCAAAUUGCUGUAAAUCCUGAAACAAUACCUAAAACAGCCUUUAUUACGCCCGAUGGUCAUUUUGAGUAUAUUAGAAUGCCCUUCGGGCUGAGCAAUGGACCUUCAGUCUUUCAAAGACUAAUGGAUACAGUGUUAGGAAAUAUGCGUUUUGGGAGGGUUAUAUGUUAUAUGGACGACUUGCUAAUAGCCACUGAAACAUUUGAACAAAAUGUAGCUUGUUUAGAGACUGUUCUAGAUAUAUUCCAAAAAAAUGGUCUGACCAUCAACUUGGAAAAAUGUUCGUUCUUCCAAAAGGAAGUAACAUUUUUGGGGUACGACAUUUCAGAUGAAGGUGUUCGCCCAAGUUCACGUAAAUUGAAAGCUAUUAAAGAUUAUCCUACCCCCAAAACAAUUCACCAACUUAGACAAUUUCUGGGACUCAUUAAUUAUUUCAGAAAAUUCAUAAAAAACUGUGCUGUAAUGUGCAAGCCCUUAACUAAUUUGUUAAAGAAGAAUGUAACCUGGCAAUGGGGUCCUCAACAAACACAGGCAGUAGAAGAUCUUAAAAAGGCCUUAAUUGAUGAUGCCGUUUUAAAUAUUUUUGACCCUAAUUUACCUAUCACUCUCUAUACAGACGCUAGUCGCGAUGGAAUAGGAUGUAUUUUAGUCCAAACCACUUCCAACGGGGAAAAACCUAUUUACUUUUAUAGCCGACAAACUACUAAUGAAGAAAAGAACUAUCAUUCUUUUGAAUUAGAGCUUUUAGCGAUUGUAGUGGGAUUACAGAAAUUCAGACAUUAUUUACUAGGAAAUCAAUUUAGAAUUGUAACCGAUUGCAAUGCUGUUCGUCAUACUUUAAACAAAAAAGAAAUCAUACCUCGGAUUAGCAGGUGGGUCUUACAAACUCAGGAAUUUACAUUUGAGAUAGUUCAUAGGGCUGGUACACAAAUGAAACAUGUGGACGCCUUGAGUCGGAACCCCGUACAAACUGAGCACUCCUUGUCUGUUCUGUCUAUUACAGAAAGUGAUUGGCUCUUAUCAGUCCAGUUACAGGAUCCUAACAUUUGCUGUAUUCGAGAUAUACUAUUAUCAGGCGAGGCCGAGUCUAAUAAAAAAAUAUUCAAUGAGUAUGAUUUAUUAGGCAAUAAGGUUUAUCGUAGGACUCAAUACGGAAGACGUUGGGUUGUACCUAAACAGUGUAUAUGGCAUGUCAUAAGAGCCAAUCAUGAUGACAUUGGGCAUUUUGCAGUUGAUAAGACUGUUGAGAGAAUCAAAGCACAGUACUGGUUUCCUCGACUUAAGAAAAUUGUUACAAAGUACAUUAAAAACUGUUUAAAUUGUAUUUACUACAAGGCUAUAAGUGAAAAAAAACCGGGACUGUUACAUCCAAUUCCAAAAUAUGCUAGACCUUUCCACACUUUACACCUUGACCAUUUAGGCCCUUUUGUUAAAACAACACAAAAUAAUGCUUAUCUUUUGGUAAUAGUAGAUUCUUUUACUAAAUUUGUGUUUAUUGUCGCUGUCAAAAAUACCAAAAGCAAAAUAGUUAUCAACGAAUUAAAUAAGAUUUUCAAAAUAUUCGGGAACCCUAAAAGACUGAUUUGUGAUGCCGGAAGCGCUUUUACAUCAAAAUUAUUUACUGGUUAUUGUAAUGAUCAUAAUAUUCGACGUCAUAUUAUUGCCACAGCCGUACCACGUUCGAACGGUCAAGUCGAACGAUAUAAUCGAACCAUUUUAGAUGCGUUACGGAGUCUUAGCGCAGAUGCAAAUAACAAUAAAUGGGAUCAACAUGUAACCCAAAUACAACAAGGUAUAAACAGUACAAUAAACAAAAGUACUGCAGCAGUACCUAGUGAAGUAUUUUUUGGAUACAGAAUUCGGAUGAUGAAUGAUAGAAUUGCUGAUGAGGAUAAUACAGAAAAAUCGGUUGACGUGACAGCCUUGCGUGACAAAGUAGAUCAAAACAUUAAAAGAGCUGCUCAAGUACAAAAAGCAGCUUUCGACUCUAAAAGGAAAUUGGCUACUAAUUAUAAUAUUGGAGACUUGGUUGUGAUUAAAAUACCAAGUCACUCAAAUGACGGUCACAGCACAAAGUUAAUGCCAUUGUUUAAAGGACCUUUCCAAAUAACAGAAGUCCUAGGGCAUGACCGUUAUAAAGUAUCCGAUAUGAGAGGAGCGGAGCGGAGUACAAAACGUUAUGAUGGCGUAACCUGCGCAGAGAAUAUGAAGUUUUGGAUACGCAUUUCGGAUGAGGGCGAGGAGGAAGUUGCACCGGAUGUUGUCCAGUAAUCAGCUUCCACAUUAGACCAAUACGAUGUCCGAGGACGGCCACGUAUGCAGGACGGCCGGAUGUUGUCGCCACAGUCGUUUCCGCCCGGAAGUACAAUUUGCCGCCGCUAGAGGGCGACACCGAGACGUCAUUCGAACAACGAGCGGCCACUCGAUCAUUCCUUGUCGAAGCGUCGAGCUAGUAACACUCACCUUGUCUUGCUGAAAGCUAUUAUUAUUUUUUAAAAAAAACGAAGUACAAUUAUUAUUUUAUAAGUGAUUUUUAUUUUAAAUUGGUAAUAUUGUAAAAGAGUAAAGUAUCAUUUCAAUUAUUAAUAAAUAUGAUUUCACUAUAGAAAAUUGAGCUAUAAUAAUUAUUACGAUGGUGAGAUUGUGUAGGUAAUGUAGCUAAAUAUUAAUAAAAGUGUUUUUGCAGAA